rnacentral:rRNA from 1 species
CAGCAGCCGCGGUAAUGCGAAGGGUGCAAGCGUUAAUCGGAAUUACUGGGCGUAAAGCGUGCGUAGGCGGUGAGUUAAGUCUGCUGUGAAAUCCCCGGGCUCAACCUGGGAAUGGCAGUGGAUACUGGCUCGCUAGAGUGUGUCAGAGGAUGGUGGAAUUCCCGGUGUAGCGGUGAAAUGCGUAGAGAUCGGGAGGAACAUCAGUGGCGAAGGCGGCCAUCCGGGACAACACUGACGCUGAGGCACGAAAGCGUGGGGAGCAAACAGGAUUAGAUACCCCCGUAGUCCCUGUCUCUUAUAC